rnacentral:rRNA from 1 species
CGCGUAGGCGGGGAGGUAAGUCGGGUGUGAAAUCCCUCGGCCCAACCGAGGAACGGCGCCCGAGACUGCUUCUCUUGAGUCCCGGAGAGGAAGGUGGAAUUCCCGGUGUAGCGGUGAAAUGUGUAGAGAUCGGGAGGAACACCGGUGGCGAAGGCGGCCUUCUGGACGGUGACUGACGCUGAGGCGCGAAAGCGUGGGGAGCAAACG